rnacentral:rRNA from 1 species
UACGAAGGGGGCUAGCGUUGCUCGGAAUCACUGGGCGUAAAGGGUGCGUAGGCGGCGCGGUAAGUCGGGUGUGAAAUCUCGGAGCUUAACUCCGAAACUGCAUUCGAUACUGCCGUGCUUGAGGACUGGAGAGGAGACUGGAAUUUACGGUGUAGCGGUGAAAUGCGUAGAUAUCUGGAGGAACACCGGUGGCGAAGGCGGCAUCCUGGACCGGUAUUGACGCUGAUGCGCGAAAGCCAGGGGAGCAAACGGG